AGUCGCGCGGUGAGCACAGAGCGAACUAUUCUUUCGCCUUUUACUAAAGAAUACCGUUUGCUCGCCGCACUCAGCGGCAUACGCCUAUUUUUGGAGGGUGUUUUUCGUCAGAAAAAGC
rnacentral:snRNA from 1 species